UGAGGAAUAUUGGUCAAUGGGCGAGAGCCUGAACCAGCCAAGUAGCGUGAAGGAUGACUGCCCUAUGGGUUGUAAACUUCUUUUAUAAAGGAAUAAAGUCGGGUAUGGAUACCCGUUUGCAUGUACUUUAUGAAUAAGGAUCGGCUAACUCCGUGCCAGCAGCCGCGGUAAUACGGAGGAUCCGAGCGUUAUCCGGAUUUAUUGGGUUUAAAGGGAGCGUAGAUGGAUGUUUAAGUCAGUUGUGAAAGUUUGCGGCUCAACCGUAAAAUUGCAGUUGAUACUGGAUAUCUUGAGUGCAGUUGAGGCAGGCGGAAUUCGUGGUGUAGCGGUGAAAUGCUUAGAUAUCACGAAGAACUCCGAUUGCGAAGGCAGCCUGCUAAGCUGCAACUGACAUUGAGGCUCGAAAGUGUGGGUAUCAAACAGGAUUAGAUACCCU
rnacentral:rRNA from 1 species